rnacentral:lncRNA from 1 species
AUGCAGAGAAAACCCGGAGCCCCCGGCCCUCCAGGGCACCCAGGGAAAGCAGGCAUGCCGGGGCUGUGUGGAGAGCCGGGAGAGCCGGGGCAGAAGGGCCAUCGGGGGUACAUGGUAAGUGCCACCCAUCCUAUGACUAGGGAUGCUCAAAUACAGGAUGGGAUGGAGGGUGUGGGGCUGGUGCCUGUGUUGGACCUUCACAGCUCCAAAAGCUGGUGGAGAAAUUUAGAGUUUAAAAUCCUGAGCAAGAAAUGGAGCCACACCACAGAGCUGUGCUGAGCGUCCUGUUGGGCAUGUGGUGGC